AUAUCUGCUUAUAUAUGUCUGCUUAUAUAUGUUUAUUUAUUGUUUUAUAAGUAUAUUAUUUUUUGAUUAUAUCUGAAUAUUGUCUAAAUUAUAGCGCUUAUUUGCAGGAUAAAGCAAAAUCAAUCAAUCCUUUCAAGAAGGCUGGUAUACUUUUAGCUGGGAUUUCUUCAGCUGGGGUUGCAUAUGGUCUUCUACCGCAGAACUUUGCUAAACAGCGUAACAUAUUGGGUUAUAGAGAUUUGGCAGUAACAGACAACAGAGGGAAGUGACCAUAAAGCAUUUAACUUCGGAUGGACAUAAAAACGAUUAAUAACUGUCGAAG